rnacentral:lncRNA from 1 species
GCCCCUUCAAGUACCAAUCAUUUUUCACUGCUUAAAUUUUCUGUAUCUAUAACCGUUCAAUAGUUAUAGGGAAAUGAAAAACUUUUGAAAAUCUAAAAUAUGACCUUGACCUUUGACCUUGACCUAUAUUUUCAAGUUUUGGUCCAAUGAACUCAAAUCUGAAGACCCGCAGUCUUUACGACUUACGGUUCAUGAGAUUUAUA